CAGCCGCCGCGGUAAUACGGAGGGUGCGAGCGUUAAUCGGAAUUACUGGGCGUAAAGGGCACGCAGGCGGUUAAUUAAGUUGGAUGUGAAAUCCCCGGGCUUAACCUGGGAAUGGCAUUCAAGACUGGUUAACUAGAGUCUUGUAGAGGGGGGUAGAAUUCCAUGUGUAGCGGUGAAAUGCGUAGAGAUGUGGAGGAAUACCGGUGGCGAAGGCGGCCCCCUGGACAAAGACUGACGCUCAUGUGCGAAAGCGUGGGGAGCAAACAGG
rnacentral:rRNA from 1 species